rnacentral:rRNA from 1 species
GCUUAAACAUGCAAGUCGAACGAACCUUCGGGUUAGUGGCGGACGGGUGAGUAACGCGUGAGAAUCUGCCCUCAGGAGGGGGAUAACAGCUGGAAACGGCUGCUAAUACCCCAUAUGCCGCGAGGUGAAAUGAAUUUCGCCUGAGGAUGAGCUCGCGUCUGAUUAGCUAGUUGGUGUAGGUAAUGGCUCACCAAGGCAUCGAUCAGUAGCUGGUCUGAGAGGAUGAUCAGCCACACUGGGACUGAGACACGGCCCAGACUCCUACGGGAGGCAGCAGUGGGGAAUUUUCCGCAAUGGGCGAAAGCCUGACGGAGCAACGCCGCGUGAGGGAUGAAGGCCUCUGGGCUGUAAACCUCUUUUAUCAAGGAAGAAGAUCUGACGGUACUUGAUGAAUAAGCCACGGCUAAUUCCGU